rnacentral:siRNA from 1 species
GACCUCCCGGGAAGUCCUCGUGUU